ACGCUUGGCGGCGUGCCUAAUACAUGCAAGUCGAGCGAAUCUUGAGGUGCUUGCACCUCUUGGUUAGCGGCGGACGGGUGAGUAACACGUGGGCAACCUGCCUGUAAGACUGGGAUAACUUCGGGAAACCGGAGCUAAUACCGGAUAAUCCUUUUCCUCUCAUGAGGAAAAGCUGAAAGUCGGUUUACGCUGACACUUACAGAUGGGCCCGCGGCGCAUUAGCUAGUUGGUGAGGUAACGGCUCACCAAGGCGACGAUGCGUAGCCGACCUGAGAGGGUGAUCGGCCACACUGGGACUGAGACACGGCCCAGACUCCUACGGGAGGCAGCAGUAGGGAAUCUUCCGCAAUGGACGAAAGUCUGACGGAGCAACGCCGCGUGAGCGAUGAAGGCCUUCGGGUCGUAAAGCUCUGUUGUUAGGGAAGAACAAGUACCGGAGUAACUGCCGGUACCUUGACGGUACCUAACCAGAAAGCCACGGCUAACUACGUGCCAGCAGCCGCGGUAAUACGUAGGUGGCAAGCGUUGUCCGGAAUUAUUGGGCGUAAAGCGCGCGCAGGCGGUCCUUUAAGUCUGAUGUGAAAGCCCACGGCUCAACCCGUGGAGGGUCAUUGGAAACUGGGGGACUUGAGUACAGAAAAGGAAAGCGGAAUUCCACGUGUAGCGGUGAAAUGCGUAA
rnacentral:rRNA from 1 species